rnacentral:lncRNA from 1 species
UACAAUCACGGCCAUGUUAGACUGCACGGACAGGCCUGUUCUACAGGCAAUUUUCCUUAACAGUAACUGCUUUGAGCAUCUCAUUCGACUGUUACAGAACUGCAAGGUAUUUCAGGGACAUCUAGACUGCUUGGCGGUAUCAACCAUUCAGGCUCUCACAGCAGUAAUGCACAAGUCUCCAGCUGCUAAGGUAACUACACAUGCAGAGAUCUUC